UACGGGGGGGGCAAGCGUUGUUCGGAAUUACUGGGCGUAAAGGGUUCGUAGGUGGCUCGCUAAGUCAGACGUGAGAUCCCUCAGCUUAACUGGGGAACUGCGGCUGAGACUGGUGAGCUUGAGUGCAGGAGAGGAACGCGGAAUUCCAGGGGUAGCGGUGAAAUGCGUAGAUAUCUGGAGGAACACCGGUGGCGAAGGCGGCGUUCUGGACUGCAACUGACACUGAGGAACGAAAGCCAGGGGAGCAAACGGG
rnacentral:rRNA from 1 species